GAUGAACGCUGGCGGCGUGCUUAACACAUGCAAGUCGAACGGAAAGGCUCCUGCUUGCAGGGGUACUCGAGUGGCGAACGGGUGAGUAACACGUGGGUGAUCUGCCCUGCACUUCGGGAUAAGCCUGGGAAACUGGGUCUAAUACCGGAUAGGACGAUGGUUUGGAUGCCAUUGUGGAAAGUUUUUCGGUGUGGGAUGAGCUCGCGGCCUAUCAGCUUGUUGGUGGGGUAAUGGCCUACCAAGGCGUCGACGGGUAGCCGGCCUGAGAGGGUGUACGGCCACAUUGGGACUGAGAUACGGCCCAGACUCCUACGGGAGGCAGCAGUGGGGAAUAUUGCACAAUGGGCGCAAGCCUGAUGCAGCGACGCCGCGUGGGGGAUGACGGCCUUCGGGUUGUAAACUCCUUUCGCUAGGGAGGAAGCGCAAGUGACGGUACCUGGAGAAGAAGCACCGGCUAACUACGUG
rnacentral:rRNA from 1 species